rnacentral:rRNA from 1 species
GAUGAACGCUGGCGGCGUGCCUAAUACAUGCAAGUCGAGCGAACAGAUAAGGAGCUUGCUCCUUUGACGUUAGCGGCGGACGGGUGAGUAACACGUGGGUAACCUACCUAUAAGACUGGAAUAACUCCGGGAAACCGGGGCUAAUGCCGGAUAACAUUUAGAACCGCAUGGUUCUAAAGUGAAAGAUGGUUUUGCUAUCACUUAUAGAUGGACCCGCGCCGUAUUAGCUAGUUGGUAAGGUAACGGCUUACCAAGGCAACGAUACGUAGCCGACCUGAGAGGGUGAUCGGCCACACUGGAACUGAGACACGGUCCAGACUCCUACGGGAGGCAGCAGUAGGGAAUCUUCCGCAAUGGGCGAAAGCCUGACGGAGCAACGCCGCGUGAGUGAUGAAGGUCUUCGGAUCGUAAAACUCUGUUAUUAGGGAAGAACAAAUGAGUAAGUAACUGUGCACGUCUUGACGGUACCUAAUCAGAAAGCCACGGCUAACUACGUG